UGACAUCAACAACAUCGCCUCGCUAUUUAUGUAUGCGUAUAUGAAACGUGAUUCAUAUUUUCAAUCGCGCUCGUUAAACUACAUAUAUAACCGCGCUCGUCAUUGAUUUUCACUGUACAGCUGUACGGUGAAUUUGUGAAUCAAUUCCGGCAAAUUUUCACCGAUUCGUUGAACAGUUUUAUUCCAGGAAUUAGUUUACAAUUAGUUUUAAUGCGAGGUAUACAUUUGUUCGAUGGAAUUCGAGCGCCUUGAAGUUUCCGGUACGGUCUGGUAGUCUCUCCUUGACCGGCGCAGGUGUAUGGAAUGUUUUCAGUUGUCGACUCAAGGAACGAUGUCUCGGUUUACCAGCAGGAUACUGAGCCAAUACAGACGCGCGAAAUUUAAAUUUAAGGGCGCGAUCGAGAGAGUCGUAGUUUCCGGAUCGAUAAUUAUUAUUCUCGUCACGAUCGGAUUAGCGAUUGUUGAAGAGGAGAGCCGAACGAUUCCCACGGACAGCCACGAGCUUAGAUCGCUUUUGAGAGAAGCAUCGGCGGAAAAUAGACGACGAGUUCGAUUGGUCGACGAUACUUGCAAAAAUAAUUAUCUAGGUUCUUACGGUCAACCGGAAAUUGAACCUCUAUGGAAACAUCCGCCGGCGCCGCAGUACACCGUACUUUACAUCGACGAGGCGCACAAUAUCUCCUAUUGUCCGAUAUACAAAGCUGGAAGUACAACGUGGCUUUAUAAUUUAUGCCUACUUAAUGGAAUCUCGGAAAACGAACUCGACGAUGGACGCCAACAGAUUUCAACGAUUGCUAGAAAGGUUCUACCGGCAAUGGAAUUUCCGGAAGCAGACGAGGCGAUAAAAAAAAGCGCUAAUCUAUUGGUGGUUCGUCACCCCUUCGAACGACUUCUCAGUGCGUACCGCGAUAAGUUGGAAAAUUCUGUGGCUGGCCGAGAACACGGAACUCUUCAUUUCUACGAAAAAUAUGGAACGAAAAUUGUGAGAAAGUAUCGAGAUUCAUACUUGGCAGACGUCCAAGUUGCUUAGUUCUCCGCAAUACGGUUCGACUUUCAACUACUAUACCUACGUUGUGCUGAAGAAUUCGUAAACAAAUUAAUACUUGGCAGUCGUCCAAGUUGCUUAGUUCUCCGCAAUACGGUUCUACUUUCAACUACUAUCCCCACGUUGUGCUGAAGAAUUCGUA
rnacentral:misc_RNA from 1 species